UAAAAUCUGAAACACAUUCAAUGUCACACUAUGAAGGACCAAGUAAACUCAAAAGUCAAGGCUAUUAAAUGUAAUUUGUAAAUGAUUAUGCCCCGUCAGAUGAAAUAUGAGGUAAAGCAAAACACAUGUGUGAUUUUGAAUUUUUAACACAGGUAAACUCAUGCAAAUGAGUAUGCUUGACAUUUGAUAUUAGGAAGAAUUGGUCAAGAUGAGUAAUAAAGAAUAGACUCUAAACUGUUAGAAUAUACAAAUACAAGAAGUAACCGUACAUUUGUGUGUUUAGCACCAAAAUAAUUAAAUAAUAUGUGAAAACUGAACUUUCCAAUCUCUUUAAUCAAAUGGAUCUCAUCAAUGAACUCCACAACCAUGUUUAUAUAAUGAUGAGAUAACUAACUUACUGGCCCUUGGAAUCCCAUCCAGAGUAACCAGCAACUUUAUUCAUUGCAUUUCUCCAUCUUUCAACCCUAUCACUGUUUUGACCAAAUUUCUCUAGAUGUUUUCUGAAGGCUUCCUCAAAGCUUCCUCUUUGAUGCCUUACAUCAGACGGAUCCACACCAUAGAAGACUGGCAAAACAUGCAGGUUGUUAUUGCUGCUGCACUCCAUGAUCAUUUGAAGCUCAUCCAAACACCAAGUGGAAGAUGCAUAGUCUGGUGAGAUAAUAGUGAUGGCAAACAUAGAAUCUUUUAUUGCAUUGAUUAGCUUUUCUGAAAUGUUUUUCCCUCUCUCAAGGUCUUUGUCAUCUCUGAAAGUUGUGAUCCCUUUUCUUUCAAGGGCAGCGCGUAAAUGAUCAGUGAAUCCUUUGCGUGUAUCUUCUCCUCGAAAACUCAAAAACACAUGGUAGCUGCAUAACCGUGUGGUCGAACUUGAACUGCAUGGAGAGGAAGAAGAUGCUUCACAUAUAGUGAAUGUUGCCAUUUGUUCAAU
rnacentral:lncRNA from 1 species